GUAGGUGUUAAACCGUUGAAAGGUUGCAACGUAAAGCCAGAGUUUAAUGAGUGAUCACCAAAGUGCAGGACAAUAAAGAAGUAGAGAGCACACCAGGAUGAGACAUUGGAAAAAAAGUAUGUAAGAUUUUAUUUUAAUUAUAUAAAAUAUUUAUCUAUUUAAUUUUUUCUUAAAUUGACAAUGAGUGCCAGGUCAUUAUGGACUAUGAAGUGCGCCCGGAGGUACCCUCUGAAAAUUCUACUCUGCAAGCGAUAAUUAUUUUGUACAGAGAAAUACACCAACUGGACAAAGUUAGUGAGCUUUAUGAAGCUGUUGCAAAGUUUGAUCCAAACAAGGAAGAACUCCUAACGCAUCUCUCCACGUCAUAUGUUCGCGUUGGCGAUUAAAAAAAAAACAACAGCAGGCUGCUCCUCUACAAAUCAACUCAUAAAAAUCCAUAUUAUUUCUGGGCUGUUAUGAGUAUAGCGAUGCGAGCUAUUCAUGCUGAUCAGGAAAUAGCAAAAGGAGUUAUCUUGCUUUGAGCGGAAAGAAUGGUCCUAAAAUUAGUAAGGGAAAGAAAAAUAGAAGCGGAACAGGAAGUGCAACUUUAUGUGAUAUUAGAACUGCAAGACAAAAAUGAAGAAGUAUUGAAUCUACUGUCCAGUCUUUUAGCUUCAUAUGUCUUAGUAUAUACCUCAACGAAAGUGCGAUCGUCGGCGCAGUUUGCCGUGCUUGUGCAGUACACACAGAACCAAGCGCACAAUUGCAUAAGAAAAAUGAGAAGAAAUAUAAUAAAAAAGUCGAGCCAAUGAGACUAAGACUUGGAGAGAAAUAGCUAUAUUUCUGUCAGAAAGAGCCAAAAAUUUAGAUGCGGUUCUAACAGAAUUUGAAAAAUGUGAUUUACACACAGGAUUAGAUGAGAAGGAUGUUACGUGUCAUUAUUAUGACACGUGGACAAGCAAGUGUCGAACAAACCUGCGUGUUGGUUCCGAGAUCCCUCAAAUCUCGUUCCCAAUCCAUAUUAAGGCUUUUAAGUAAUUUAAAAAAUUGAAACUAUUCGACAGUAUUUGUACAAAGGACAUCUGUAUCCGUCUACUUUUCAUAAUUUUCAAAAAUGACUUGAGAGUUCUGUACAUAAUUCUUAGCUCCAAUUCAAUUAUACAUAAUGAAUGAAUGGUUCAAUGCUGAUUAAAAUACUUGAGCCUACUUUCAUUUUUAUGAAAAGCAGUUAACUGCCAUUUUGGUCAGUUUAUAACUGAUACAUUCUUUAAACAAUUAACAAAUUGUAAAAGUUAAAAUAUUUCUGAAAUUGUGUAAUUUUCUGCAUUAAAGAAGACACUAAUUUUAUCGAUUUAAAAAACGUGGUCUACUUACGUGCUAUUUUUUCAUAAUAUUUUAUGUAUUUUACAUUGCAAAAAAUUUUAAUUCGCGCAUCGAUCAGCAUUACUUAUUUUACGAUUUCUAUUCAUUUAGACUUUUCAAAGAAUAACGCUCGUAAAUUGCAUUUAAUUAUAUUUUGUGACAUCUAUAUGUAUAUAUAAAUAUGUAGUUUCUUUUUCAUAAUUAUAUAAAUUUAUUAUUAAGUAGUUGGUUAUUAAUUGUUAAACCAUUCUAUAGAAUCGGUUAAAAAUGAAUUGCUAACUGGAAAGGAAUAAAUUGCUUAUACCAGUGCAGAGAAAUAUGUAUGUAUUUAUUUUUUUAUAAUUAUUUUACUUAAAUUGAUAGAAUGAUAUAUCAUUGAUUGUAUCGUUGUUUAUGUUAAUAAACAUACAUAUACGUAAUUAAAAAUAAAGAAUUAUAAAUUUUUAA